AUUGAACGCUGGCGGCAGGCUUAACACAUGCAAGUCGAACGGUAACGGGCCUUCGGGUGCCGACGAGUGGCGAACGGGUGAGUAAUGCAUCGGAACGUACCUUUCAGUGGGGGAUAACGUAGCGAAAGUUACGCUAAUACCGCAUAUUCUGUGAGCAGGAAAGCAGGGGAUCGUAAGACCUUGCGCUGAUUGAGCGGCCGAUGUCAGAUUAGCUAGUUGGUGAGGUAAAGGCUCACCAAGGCGACGAUCUGUAGCGGGUCUGAGAGGAUGAUCCGCCACACUGGAACUGAGACACGGUCCAGACUCCUACGGGAGGCAGCAGUGGGGAAUUUUGGACAAUGGGGGCAACCCUGAUCCAGCCAUGCCGCGUGAGUGAAGAAGGCCUUCGGGUUGUAAAGCUCUUUCGGCCGGGAAGAAAUCGCAUGGGCUAAUACCCUGUGCGGAUGACGGUACCGGCAUAAGAAGCACCGGCUAACUACGUGCCAGCAGCCGCCGUAACAC
rnacentral:rRNA from 1 species